GACGAACGCUGGCGGCGUGCCUAAUACAUGCAAGUUGAGCGCUGAAGGUUGGUACUUGUACCGACUGGAUGAGCAGCGAACGGGUGAGUAACGCGUGGGGAAUCUGCCUUUGAGCGGGGGACAACAUUUGGAAACGAAUGCUAAUACCGCAUAAAAACUUUAAACACAAGUUUUAAGUUUGAAAGAUGCAAUUGCAUCAUUCAAAGAUGAUCCCGCGUUGUAUUAGCUAGUUGGUGAGGUAAAGGCUCACCAAGGCGAUGAUACAUAGCCGACCUGAUAGGGUGAUCGGCCAAAAUGGGAAUGAGACACGGACCAAACUACUACGGGAGGCAGCAGUAGGGAAUCGUCGGAAAUGGACGAAAGUCUGACCGAGCAACGCCGAGUGAGUGAAGAAGGUUUUCGGAUCGUAAAACUCUGUUGGUAGAGAAGAACGUUGGUGAGAGUGGAAAGCUCAUCAAGUGACGGUAACUACCCAGAAAGGGACGGCUAACUACGUG
rnacentral:rRNA from 1 species